CCUACGGGUGGCAGCAGUGGGGAAUAUUGCUCAAUGGGCGAAACCCUGAUCCAGCGACGCCGCGUGAGUGAAGAAGUAUCUCGGUACGUAAAGCUCUAUCAGCAGGGAAGAAAAUGACGGUACCUGACUAAGAAGCCCCGGCUAACUACGUGCCAGCAGCCGCGUGAUUACGUAGGGGGCAAGCGUUAUCCGGAUUUACUGGGUGUAAAGGGAGCGUAGACGGCAGCACAAGUCAGGAGUGAAAUCCCGGGGCUUAACCCCGGAACUGCUUUGGAAACUGUGGUUCUUGAGUACUGGAGAGGCAGACGGAAUUCCUGGUGUAGCGGUGAAAUGCUUAGAUAUUAGGAGGAACACCAGUGGCGAAGGC
rnacentral:rRNA from 1 species